GAAGAGCUUGUCGGGUUCUAUUUGCGGCGGAAGGUGGAAAACAAACCCAUCGCUCUUCAGCUUAUCAAACAGAUUGAUAUUUACAAAUACGAUCCCUGGGAACUUCCAAAAGCUAGUAUUGUAGUGGGAGACAAUAAUAAAGAGUGGUACUUCUUCUGCAUUAGAGGAAGAAAGUACAGGAACAGCGUAAGACCAAAUAGAGUUACAGGAUCUGGAUUCUGG
rnacentral:misc_RNA from 1 species